rnacentral:rRNA from 1 species
AUUGAACGCUGGCGGCAUGCCUUACACAUGCAAGUCGAACGGCAGCACGGGUGCUUGCACCUGGUGGCGAGUGGCGAACGGGUGAGUAAUACAUCGGAACGUACCUUAUCGUGGGGGAUAACGCAGCGAAAGCUGUGCUAAUACCGCAUACGCCCUGAGGGGGAAAGCGGGGGAUCGAAAGACCUCGCGCGAUUAGAGCGGCCGAUGCCUGAUUCGCUUGUGGGGGGGGUAAAAGCCCACCAAGGCGACGAUCAGUAGCUGGGCUGAGAGGACGAUCAGCCACACUGGGACUGAGACACGGCCCAGACUCCUACGGGAGGCAGCAGUGGGGAAUUUUGGACAAUGGGGGCAACCCUGAUCCAGCAAUGCCGCGUGAGUGAAGAAGGCCUUCGGGUUGUAAAGCUCUUUUGUCAGGGAAGAAACACCGGCUCUAACACCGUCCGGGAAUGACGGUACCUGAAGAAUAAGCACCGGCUAACUACGUGCCAGCAGCCGCCGUAA